CCGCACUGCCUUUGACCCGGUGGAGUGCCCUCGCGCGGCCCCGCCGGCCAAGCAGCAGUGCCAGAGCGAAGCCCUUGUUCCAUAACUGGUGCUGCGCGGCGCACCCCGCGUGGCGCUUUUAACAGCAAUGCACAGCG
rnacentral:snoRNA from 12 species